GAUGAACGCUGGCGGCGUGCCUAAUACAUGCAAGUCGAGCGAACAGACGAGGAGCUUGCUCCUCUGACGUUAGCGGCGGACGGGUGAGUAACACGUGGAUAACCUACCUAUAAGACUGGGAUAACUUCGGGAAACCGGAGCUAAUACCGGAUAAUAUAUUGAACCGCAUGGUUCAAUAGUGAAAGACGGUUUUGCUGUCACUUAUAGAUGGAUCCGCGGCGCAUUAGCUAGUUGGUAAGGUAACGGCUUACCAAGGCAACGGUGCGUAGCCGUCCUGAGAGGGUGGUCGGCCACACUGGAUCUGAGAAACGGUCCAGACUCCUACUGGAGGCAGCAGUAGGGAAUCUUCCUCAAUGAGCGAAAGCCUGACGUAAGUACUCCGCUUGGGUGGUGAAGGUCUUCGGAUCGUGAAGCUCUGUUAUUAGGGAAGUACAAAUGUGUAAGUAACUAUGCACAUCUUGACGGUACCUAAUCAGAAAGCGACGGCUAACUACGUG
rnacentral:rRNA from 1 species